CAGUAGCCACGGGAAUACGAAGGGUGCAAGCGUUACUCGGAAUUACUGGGCGUAAAGCGUGCGUAAGUGGUGGUUUAAGUCCGUUGUGAAAGCCCUGGGCUCAACCUGGGAAUUGCAGUGGAUACUGGGUCACUAGAGUGUGGUAGAGGAUAGUGGAAUUUCCGGUGUAGCAGUGAAAUGCGUAGAGAUCGGAAGGAACAUCUGUGGCGAAGGCGACUAUCUGGGCCAACACUGACACUGAGGCACGAAAGCGUGGGGAGCAAACAGGAUUAGAUACCCCUGUAGUCCCUGUCUCUUAUAC
rnacentral:rRNA from 1 species